rnacentral:rRNA from 1 species
CCAAUAGCGUAUAUUAAAGUUGUUGCAGUUAAAAAGCUCGUAGUUGAAUUUCGGGGCCAGUAGGUUGGUCGUGCCACUGGUAUGCACUGGCCUUACUGGUCCCUCCUUCUUGUAGAACCGUGAUGCCAUUAAUUUGGUGUUGCGGGGAAACAGGACUGUUACUUUGAAAAAAUUAGAGUGCUUAAAGCAGGCUCGCGCUUGAAUACAUUAGCAUGGAAUAACGGAAUAGGACGAUCGAACCUAUUUUGUUGGUUUCUAGGAUCGACGUAAUGAUUAAUAGGGAUAGUUGGGGGCAUUAGUAUUCAAUUGUCAGAGGUGAAAUUCUUGGAUUUAUUGAAGACUAACUACUGCGAAAGCAUUUGCCAAGGAUGUUUUCAUUAAUCAAGAACGAAAGUUAGGGGAUCGAAGGCGAUCAGAUACCGUCGUAGUCUUAACCAUAAACUAUGCCGACUAGGGAUCGGAUGAAGUUAAUUUUUUAAUGACUCAUUCGGCGCCUUACG